rnacentral:rRNA from 1 species
AAGCGCUUGUGACCAGACUUGGGCUCGGUUGAUCAUCUUGGGUUCUCCCUAGUGCACUCUGCCGGGCCUAGGCCAGCAUCAGUUCGCCUCGGGGGAUAAAAGCUCUGGGAAUGUGGCUCCCUCGGGAGUGUUAUAGCCCACUGCGCAAUACCCUGUGGCGGACUGAGGUUCGCGCUCCGCAAGGAUGCUGGCGUAAUGGUCACCAGUGA